rnacentral:tRNA from 1 species
GGUCCCUUCGUCUAGGGGUCCAGGACGACGGGUUCUCAGCCCGUUAACACGAGUUCGAAUCUCGUAGGGACUGCCA